GUGAGGAAUAUUGGUCAAUGGGCGGGAGCCUGAACCAGCCAAGUCGCGUGAAGGAAGAAGGAUCUAUGGUUCGUAAACUUCUUUUGCAGGGGAAUAAAGUGCAGGACGUGUCCUGUUUUGUAUGUACCCUGAGAAUAAGGAUCGGCUAACUCCGUGCCAGCAGCCGCGGUAAUACGGAGGAUCCGAGCGUUAUCCGGAUUUAUUGGGUUUAAAGGGUGCGCAGGCGGGUUGAUAAGUCAGCGGUGAAAGUUUGCAGCUUAACUGUAAAAUUGCCGUUGAAACUGUCGAUCUUGAGUGCAAAUGAGGUAAGCGGAAUGUGUUGUGUAGCGGUGAAAUGCUUAGAUAUAACACAGAACACCGAUUGCGAAGGCAGCUUACUGGGAUGCAACUGACGCUCAUGCACGAAAGCGUGGGGAUCAAACAGGAUUAGAUACCCCGGUAGUCC
rnacentral:rRNA from 1 species